UUACAUUUUUCGUCCUUAUAUGAGAAUACUUGAGGCUGAAUAAGGGCUCAUUCGAAAGAGGAAGGUUCAAUGCAGCGUUUUUUCAAACACUAGUUUAAACGUAGAAUAGUUUUUAAUAAAAUAGGAUUAUAAUAUAGGAAAAUAAUUUUAAUAAUUUAGGAUCAACCAACUUGUAACGUCCUUUAACUCCAGCCGGUCUGGCUACUUUCUUCUGUGCCAUAUGCUUCUUCAUUACCACGUUCUAUGUCUAAUUCAGAGAAUACAUAUUUUGGAUCUAAAAAUUUAGGAUCUAGUUUAUCUGGAGCAAUAUAAUAUUGACAAACAACAAAAAUUUCAGCAGAUUCUAAACGUGAUGCUUGAGGUUUGGUUGCAUUUACCUAUUAAAAAAUCACCCAAAGUAAUGGUUGAUAAUCUCUUGAUCGAAAAAGUUUUGUAACAAACCACCCACCAGGUCUUAAAAAGUAUGUUGCCAUUUU